GGUUGCGAUCAUACCAGCACUAAUGCACCGGAUCCCAUCAGAACUCCGCAGUUAAGCGUGCUUGGGCGAGAGUAUUACUAGGAUGGGUGACCCCCUGGGAAGUCCUCGUGUUGCAACCC
rnacentral:rRNA from 1 species